UACGUAGGGUGCAAGCGUUGUCCGGAAUUAUUGGGCGUAAAGAGCUCGUAGGCGGUUUGUUGCGUCGGCUGUGAAAUCCCGAGGCUCAACCUCGGGUCUGCAGUCGAUACGAGCAAACUGGAGUGUUGCAGGGGAGACUGGAAUUCCUGGUGUAGCGGUGAAAUGCGCAGAUAUCAGGAGGAACACCGAUGGCGAAGGCGGCGACCUGGGUCGAUACUGACGCUGGAGCGCGAAAGCGUGGGGGAGCAAACAGG
rnacentral:rRNA from 1 species